AUUGAACGCUGGCGGCAGGCCUAACACAUGCAAGUCGAGCGGUAGCACAGAGAGCUUGCUCUCGGGUGACGAGCGGCGGACGGGUGAGUAAUGUCUGGGAAACUGCCUGAUGGAGGGGGAUAACUACUGGAAACGGUAGCUAAUACCGCAUAACGUCGCAAGACCAAAGAGGGGGACCUUCGGGCCUCUUGCCAUCAGAUGUGCCCAGAUGGGAUUAGCUAGUAGGUGGGGUAACGGCUCACCUAGGCGACGAUCCCUAGCUGGUCUGAGAGGAUGACCAGCCACACUGGAACUGAGACACGGUCCAGACUCCUACGGGAGGCAGCAGUGGGGAAUAUUGCACAAUGGGCGCAAGCCUGAUGCAGCCAUGCCGCGUGUAUGAAGAAGGCCUUCGGGUUGUAAAGUACUUUCAGCGGGGAGGAAGGUGUUGUGGUUAAUAACCACAGCAAUUGACGUUACCCGCAGAAGAAGCACCGGCUAACUCCGUGCCAGCCGCCGCAGUAAAAC
rnacentral:rRNA from 1 species